CAGUAGGGAAUCUUCCACAAUGGGCGCAAGCCUGAUGGAGCAACACCGCGUGAGUGAAGAAGGGUUUCGGCUCGUAAAGCUCUGUUGUUAAAGAAGAACACGUAUGAGAGUAACUGUUCAUACGUUGACGGUAUUUAACCAGAAAGUCACGGCUAACUACGUGCCAGCAGCCGCGGUAAUACGUAGGUGGCAAGCGUUAUCCGGAUUUAUUGGGCGUAAAGAGAGUGCAGGCGGUUUUCUAAGUCUGAUGUGAAAGCCUUCGGCUUAACCGGAGAAGUGCAUCGGAAACUGGAUAACUUGAGUGCAGAAGAGGGUAGUGGAACUCCAUGUGUAGCGGUGGAAUGCGUAGAUAUAUGGAAGAACACCAGUGGCGAAGGCGGCUACCUGGUCUGCAACUGACGCUGAGACUCGAAAGCAUGGGUAGCGAACAGGAUUAGAUACCCUGGUAGUCCAUGCCGUAAACGAUGAGUGCUAGGUGUUGGAGGGUUUCCGCCCUUCAGUGCCGGAGCUAACGCAUUAAGCACUCCGC
rnacentral:rRNA from 1 species